rnacentral:rRNA from 1 species
GUAGGGAAUCUUCCACAAUGGACGAAAGUCUGAUGGAGCAACGCCGCGUGAGUGAAGAAGGUCUUCGGAUCGUAAAACUCUGUUGUUAGAGAAGAACGUGCAUGAUAGUAACUGAUCAUGUAAUGACGGUAUCUAACCAGAAAGCCACGGCUAACUACGUGCCAGCAGCCGCGGUAAUACGUAGGUGGCAAGCGUUGUCCGGAUUUAUUGGGCGUAAAGGGAACGCAGGCGGUUUUUUAAGUCUGAUGUGAAAGCCUUCGGCUUAACCGAGGGAUAGCAUUGGAAACUGGAAGACUUGAGUGCAGAAGAGGAGAGUGGAAUUCCAUGUGUAGCGGUGAAAUGCGUAGAUAUAUGGAGGAACACCAGUGGCGAAAGCGGCUCUCUGGUCUGUAACUGACGCUGAGGUUCGAAAGCGUGGGUAGCAAACAGGAUUAGAAACCCGGGUAGUCC